AUGUCUAUGAUUACAGAUACCUCAAAAUCAAAUGAAUUAUAUAUUAAAUACAUCAUUCCUCCUAUUAGUAUUAUUUUGAUCAUCGUGGGAUCAGUUUGGCUUUUGAAAAUCAGGGCCUUCAGGAAAUGUAAGCUUAAAAAAUCAGCAGCUACUUCUGUCAUUGAGGAGGAUGAAAUGCAGCCCUAUGCUUGCUACACAGAGAAGAACAACCCACUCUAUGAAGCUACAAGCAAGGUUUAGGUGUUUCAAGUAUCACAAAGUGAAGCUGAUGGCAUAGACCUCCAUACUUUAUAAGUUAUUGGGAUCUAGCACCAGGAAAAAUUAAUCAAGAUACAUUAUACUUACUGUUUUGAGUUCUCUUACAGAUCUAGAAUGGAAAACCUAUUUUGAAGUCAGUUUUGGAAAACUUCUUGGAAGAAAAAGAUGUUCUAAUGGAUUUGUAUUUAUGUCCUUUUACAAUGGGAAUUUUAGAAUCUUAGCUGCUAUUAGCUAGUUCUUUGAAGAACUUGUUAUUGUGCAAAGAAAACACAUGCUCAUAAAAUAUUCAAAUUGUGCAAUACAGUGAAUAAUGAAAACUAAGUUUCUUCAAGAAAUAAUUUUGUCAAAGGGGCAAUCAUCAACAGUUUCUCAUGUAUUCUUUAAGAUUUCUACAUACAUUUGAUAUGUUUAUGUGGCUAUGGUAUAUAUAUGCAUUUAUGUAUCUAUUUACAUUUGUGUUUGUGUGUAUAUAUAUAUGUGUGUAUGUGUGUGUCAAGACACAAAUAGGAACAUAUUGUAAUGCUAUCCAGUUCUUAUAAAAAAGCUAAUAAUGUAAGUCUUGGAGAUAUUUUCAUGUCAGCACAAGAAAAUCUACCUCAUUCUUUUCUAAUGGCUACAUAAGAUUCCAUUGUAUGAUUAUAUCAUAAUUUAAUUAACUACAGCCCCAGUGAUGGACAUUUAGAUUAAGUUUUGUUUAUGGUAUAAAUAAUAACAGUAUAAUGCUUCUUGUGGAUAUAUUUCUUCCCACUGUUUGAAUGUAUCAGUAGGAUAAUUUCCUUGAGUGAAAUUUCCAGGUCAAUUUGUAUGCACUUUUAUUAUUGAUAGGUAUGUCACAUUGUGUCAAUUUACAUUCCCCCAACAGUGUAAGUUGUGCCUUGUAUUGAUAUCUGCAAGAUUCUCACUUCCUUGAUUCCCAUUUUCUCUUUUAAAUUAAACAGUUGGCUAAUAUGAUGCAAGAUUAUAAGAACUGUACUAUUUAAUAAAACUGGAUUUAUAUUUUUUGUUGUAUUUUAAAGAGAGAAUAUAUGUGUAAAAAUGUUUGAUUUCUUCUGAGACCCUCCUGCCUCUAUGGAAGUGUUAAUAUUCAAUAUGUAACAGUUUUGCAGAUGAUACAGGUUGGAAUUGUGUAUUUUUGUAGUAUACAUUGUAUUCUGGUGUAUUUCUCAAGUAGUAGAUAUUUAUGGGGUAUAUAUGUAGCUAAAUAUGCACUACAGAUGAUUUGGAGUUUCUGCAUGCUAAGAGAACAACCAUAGGAUGACAUGACCCUCCCCUACAUUUUUCUAUGGAGUAAAAUAUUGGGAAUAUGUAUAUUGAAAAUUUUUAAUAACAUAAAAAUCUUGUUAGAUGUGAAAAGUAUGAAAAAAUAAGACUACUGUAUAGUAGGAAAUAUAUUAAAAUAUUUUUUAUUGUGACAGAAAUUAAAACAAAACACAUUUAUUCUUCAAUUGUACCAUCAAAGAAAUUUAAGACAAUAAUUUUGUCUUACUAAUACAUUUUCC
rnacentral:lncRNA from 1 species